rnacentral:rRNA from 1 species
AGGACGAACGCUGGCGGCGUGCUUAACACAUGCAAGUCGAGCGGUAAGGCCUUUCGGGGUACACGAGCGGCGAACGGGUGAGUAACACGUGGGCGACCUGCCCUCAGCUCUGGGAUAAGCCUGGGAAACUGGGUCUAAUACCGGAUAUGACCACAUGUCGCAUGGUGUGUGGUGGAAAGUUUUUCGGCUGGGGAUGGGCCCGCGGCCUAUCAGCUUGUUGGUGGGGUGAUGGCCUACCAAGGCGACGACGGGUAGCCGGCCUGAGAGGGCGACCGGCCACACUGGGACUGAGAUACGGCCCAGACUCCUACGGGAGGCAGCAGUGGGGAAUAUUGCGCAAUGGGCGAAAGCCUGACGCAGCGACGCCGCGUGGGGGAUGACGGCCUUCGGGUUGUAAACCUCUUUCGACCGGGACGAAGCGAGAGUGACGGUACCGGUAUAAGAAGCACCGGCCAACUACGUGCCAGCAGCCGC